rnacentral:rRNA from 1 species
AGUGAACGCUGGCGGCAGGCCUAACACAUGCAAGUCGAGCGGCUGCACAGUGCUUGCUCCUGGUUUCAGCUGCCGACGGGCGAGUAAGUCCUGGGAAUCUCCCUGUUAGUUUUUUCUAGGGUGCGGACGCGGGCGCACAUACGGCAUACGUCCUGACGGAGUACGUGUGGGAUCUUCGGACCUUCCGCUCUCACAUGAUCCUAGGUCGGAUUAGCUAGUUGGCGGGGUAAAGGCCUACCAAGGCGACGAUCCGUAGCUGGUCUGAGAGGAUGAUCAGUCACACUGGAACUGAGACACGGUCCAGACUCCUACGGGAGGCAGCAGUGGGGAAUAUUGGACAAUGGGCGAAAGCCUGAUCCAGCCAUGCCGCGUGUGUGAAGAAGGUCUUCGGAUUGUAAAGCACUUUUGGUGGGGAGGAAGAGCAGUAGGUUAAUACCUUGCUGUUUUGACGGUACCCAAAGAAUAAGCACCGGCUAACUUCGUG